rnacentral:lncRNA from 1 species
GAACAAAAAAAGUGAAGAAAAGAAGGAAAGUAAAUUUCAAAAGAAAAAGAAAGCUUACAUAGCUUGGGAAGACAAUGCUUCCAAUUCAACAAGCUCAAGUGAUUCAAAUGAAGAAGCCAACAUUUGUCUAAUGGCAGAUUCAGAAGAUACUGGAAGUCAAGUAAGUGAUUCCAGCUUUGAAUCUAGUGAAUUAGAUUUACAAAAGGCUUUCUUUGAUUUGAUGAAUGAAUCUGAAAAACUUGAUGUUGCACAUAAAAAGCUUAAGAAAGAGCACAAUGAAUUGAAAUUUAAAUAUGAUAAAUUGC